rnacentral:lncRNA from 12 species
GGAUUAUAUUUUCAUUCUUUCUUGAAACCAGAUCAGGCCAGAGGAAACUGUGAUAUAUUCUGAACAUUUGGACAAGUACCAAAGCUACAAAAUCACCUUGUGAAUGGGAUGAAACCUUUUUACUGUUGAGUGAAAUUCCUCUGUGGAGGACUGUGCUUGAUGGAUGGCAGAAGGUAGGGGGAAGGAAUCUCAGUACCUUCCUCAGGCAAGUGGAUGGAGAGUGAGCAUCACAAGGCAGAGACCACCUUCAGGAUUGUAGCUGGAUUUAAUCAAACCCAGUCAGCUCAUUCCUCUGAUCAACCCCUUUCAGUGGACACUCCAAUUCCUAUUUAAGGUAAGUGCAAAUUAUUUAUCCUGUCAUUCCUGGCUAGAAGUGACUGACUUUUCUCAUUUUUUACUUUCAUUUGUGCAUGUUUUAUAGUCCAGCCAUGACACAGAUAGUAAUGCUCACCAAAGAACCUAACUUUCUCUACACUUCUCAGCUCUUGCAAUUAAGUAGGACAUAUGGCUAGUUCUGGUUAAUUGGCUGUUAGCAGAAAAGACAUGUGUCUCUUCUGUGCCAGAGCAGAGGAACAGGUGUGAAUUCUCCAUGCUUCUUUAUUCUCCUGAAUCAAUAAGGAAAGCUGUACAUUUCAGAUCAUGCAGCUGCAAAAUGGUGGAUUCUGAAUCCUCACUGAUCUCUGAUAGAUGUGUGUUGUGAGCAAGAAUAAAUCUUUCAUUUUUUGGUGUGUUCUUGAGCUA